GUCUACAGCCAUACUACCCUGAACAAGCCCAAUCCCAUCUAAUCUCGGAAGCUAAGCAGGGUUGGGUCUGGUUAGUACUUGGAUGGGAGACCUCCUAGGAAGACCAGGUGCUGCUGUAG
rnacentral:rRNA from 1 species